rnacentral:rRNA from 1 species
AUAUUGGCCAGAGACCGAUAGCGCACAAGUAGAGUGAUCGAAAGAUGAAAAGCACUUUGGAAAGAGAGUCAAACAGCACGUGAAAUUGUUGAAAGGGAAGCGCUUGCAGCCAGACUUGCUUACAGUUGCUCAUCCGGGUUUCUACCCGGUGCACUCUUCUGUAGGCAGGCCAGCAUCAGUUUGGGCGGUAGGAUAAAGGUCUCUGUCACGUACCUCCUUUCGGGGAGGCCUUAUAGGGGAGACGACAUACUACCAGCCUGGACUGAGGUCCGCGCAUCUGCUAGGAUGCUGGCGUAAUGGCUGUAAGCGGCCCGUCUUGAAACACGGACC